rnacentral:lncRNA from 1 species
AGUACAUGCGUUUUCACCAUCACCAUGCAUGGACAACGAAAUUAUCCAUCAGCAGCAAGGUAACAAUGCACUGAGAAUGGCUUAGGCCAACAAGCUUUCACAACUAAGUACACAUGAGCCUCAGGUACAUAGUUGGCGCGAAUGAUACAAGUCGCAGGAGCGAAGAAACACUACACAUAGCACUACGCUACAAGUCCAGUGCACACCCAAGCAAAGGGGAACAACUGCAUACAUGCACGGACAAGCCAGGUUAAACUGAUCUGGUUACUACUAUGGGAUCAUUCCAGUCAGUCAGUCUUGGAGUCUCCAUCGUAACAUGGCAUCUUCUCUACGAAGGAGAGAGACUCCACUCAUCACAAGGGGCGUCCUCAGGUGCGCCCCGUACUUUCAAGGCAACCUGUCGGGUGAAAAGAGUUAGACAGAGCCCCUGAAUCUGUAAACGCCUUUUAGGAACAUAUGGUAUUGUAGUAAUUUUAUAGUAGCAUUAAUCUAAAAUUCCCAAGGAGGCAGAAAAGCGUUUUGUCCGGGACUCACGCUAGCUUCAGGGAUAUAUCAGAACCGUCGUCAUUGUCGUGCGAGCUCCCCGAAUGCAAUGCCGUCAUCACAGAUUCAGAUGAGUGGACAUCUUCAGUGGCAACGUUUUCAGUUUCGACAACAGUCAUCUUGCCGGCCUUUGGCACCUGAGGCAUCUACAUCCAAUCACACGAGCAGCACUUAAAUUUGUGUUCCGCCGCCCCCACCAAUUAUAGAGAAACUAGAAUGGUUGUUCGGAUUGCAUUUUUUAAAGAUUGAUUAAGUGCAGGAUUACAGAUGCAGCAAAUAUCUUCUUACUUGGCUUCUCAAGCGCAAAUUUUCCUCUGCCACAAGUGUGCCCUACAAGAAAAACGAAAUCUCAUUAUAAAAUGUUCUUGAAGAAGUACACAGCGUUCUAUUAACCAAAUAAUAAUAAUCAUCUGGGGUAGAAAUUUUGUGAUGCUGGAUGGUAAAACCAAAAGAGAAAAAUGCAAUCAAACAAAAAUCCAUCGGUUGCAUGUGUGUUGAAAUACUCAUUUCUUCUGAUUAAUUGAAUAAAUUUCGAAAGCAAAUAAAAAAAGUCCCACGUCCGAAAAUCUACAGAGAAAGCACUGAGAAAUUGCUGAUAAGAAUUUCAUAAUAUGCGCAGUUACAUUUCCAAGUAUUGAUGUGUAACAUAACUGACAAGUUCCACCUUCCUCCCAGGAAAAGAAGGUUCUACUUUGACUUCACAAAUAAUAGUCAACGUACCUCUCUUGUUUAGCAAAUCAUGCUAUUGUGACAACUUUUGGGAACUGAUUUGUUGCGCACGACAUGCACAUAUCUACUACAUAUGCAUACAUAUUCAUAUGGAUUUCUAUCUCCAGCAUACUACAAGGGCAUGUACCACUAAGGUUCCCAAUAUUUAUUUCCUACACGGCUACCAGUUGAGGUAAGUACCCACGGAACACAUUUUACUCUGUUAGUUACAUGCAAGUCUCAUACUCCCUGCUGCCGGUAAUACUUUUUCGAAAUAUUGCAUGUAUCUAGACACUUUUAAACAUAGAUACAUUCAUUUUGGGACAAAAAUGAGACAAAUAAUAUAGGUCGGAGGGAAUAUGGGACGGAGGGAGUAUUAAAUUGCAAUUCAAGCUUAUUAAUUUCUUUCUUGAAAAGGGUUCCAAAACCAAAAACAAUAAAAACAACCUAAAAUAAUAAUAAUAAUAAUAAUAAUAAUAAUAAUAAUAAUAAUAAUAAUAAUAAUAAUAAUACUCCAAAAGAAGCCACUGAUUUGAUAAUUUGACUUGUGUCCAGAGUACAAAAAAGGACCUGGGUCAUAGCUGUCCCCGGUUUCUAAGAACAGAUUUUAAAAAGCAGUGGAGUUUACUCAUUCCUCACCUUUUGUUGGAGCUCACUGAUUUGUUGCAUGAAUUGUUGGUCCUGCAGAAACAUAUAUAUGUCGUGUGAAACGAUUGACAUUGUGUCUGGCAACCCAAACUAAACUUAAGAAGAAUAAAAAGGGAGCCACCCUACCUUUGUACAAAGCACCCUCUGCAGUCCUGUUUCAAGAUUCUUUUCCAUCUGCUGCAAUUCACCGACAGUUAACCCCUCAAGUUCCUCACCUCUCAUAUGUCUAUGUAGAUUAUAGAACAUGGCAUCAGUAGUAAACAAGUUUUAAGUUAACACACAAAGCCAGGAUCAAACAAAACAUUACCUAAGCCGAAGACUUGCUUCUGCGAGUUGUUCAUUCAAACUGUUGUACUUGUUGUGUUCUACCUGACAAGAUCACAUAGAUGUCAGUACUAGCAUAUAAAUUAGGCACAAUGAUAGAGUUUCUUAUGAGAUUUGUGCAAAUUCAGAUUGUCAGAUCUGGAAAUUCACAGUAAAUGAUUCGAAAUUAAUGAAAUCUGGGCCUUUUGUUUCGGGCUUAGAACAUGUCCAGUGGGCCAUAUAAAGAGGGCCCAAGCUGGAAGGAUGAGCCAAAUCAUGAGCAGGGUCUACUAAGGAAAUAAUGAUGAAGACAAAUUUUCACCUCCAAAUGUAUGUCACCUGAUCAAUAAUUCCAGAAGUGAAAUUUGGUUUGGUGUACCCCUACAAUGUAUAUAAUACAUGAUAAAUCACCCCUCUAGGUGGGUUCAAACUAACAUGGCAUAUGUUCAGUCUGUUCUGAGCCAAAUAGAUGCUGAUUGUGACUAUGGCCUCUAUUUGACUGAUCUGACUUGACAUUUCCCAUGCACUUUCCUUUCCACUCUCUCACCCCCAUUGUCAGCGGAGAAGAUCUCACUACCGUAUUUGCCACCAUUGGCGAGCCAAGAGACACCGCCGCCAUGCCAACAACGACCGACACAAUGACGCGACCUCCCAGGCACCACAGUGGCUACGCAGCGGCCUUCUUACUCAAGUCCAGCCACUGCUCAGCUGCAUCGAAUCUCUGCCCACGGUGAGCCCCUAAAAAAUUCCUCUUGCUCGUGCAAUCCUCUCCUUCUAUAGAUUAUUUACACUCACCCAAUUUUGCUGAUCCUAGCUUCGCCUCCACGUGCACCCACCGCAGCACAUGUACCGUCCAAACCACACUAUCAUCGUCACCUUUGUUUCUUUCCGAAACCGAACCCUUGUUUCAUGUUCACCAUCACCUUCGACGACCCACGACCUAUGUUUCUUCAGCGAGCUCGUUGUGGCGCUGUCCUUUGUUCCUUCCCACUGUUCUCCCUAUGUUCUCUCUUUGCCUCAAUUCUGCUCGUGCUUCCUUAGUGCUCACUAAUUAAUCAUAGUCUUCGUUGGGUUCUUCUCGCCGUUGAUUGGAAUGAGAGAGAUGGUGAGACUUGAGGAAGAAGAAGGCGGCGUAGGUGCUACAGUACUUAGCAGCAUUGUCCCGGUCAUCUUGUCAUGAUGGUACACUACUCUUGAUCCAGUGACAUACACUUGAGGGUGAAAAUUGGACUUCUUUCCGUGAAAUAUAGAAGACAACAUAGACUUCCUGGUACCGUCGUGCGCAUUAUAUCCCUAUUUAGUUUGUUUUCCAUGCAACUAAGUGACAGCGCACCGUAAAUAUUUUGAUUAACAUCGAACUUAUUUAUGAUCGGCAAAGGACAUUAAUUUUUAUUAGAAAAGAAGAUGUCAUAAACAUUUUGCUCCGUAGAUUCUAUAUAAAAAGGAUAGCUAGAUUGCUCGGCAUACGUUUAAAUCAAUUGAAGGUUGCCUCCUGGCCUGUGGCUUGGCAAACCGGCCUCCAGUCGGCCUGGGCGAGGCCGAGUGGGCCUAAUCGGCUUGGGCCAAGCCGAUUAGCUCCAGUAGGCCAGGCCCAGGUCGAGGGUGUAUUAUUUUUAAUAAAUUAUUUUCAAUAAUGAUUAAAUAAUUCGUAUUAUUUAAAAAAAAUAGCCAUGGUUUUGGCAUGCCAAUGCUAUUUGUCAUUUUUUAUUUUAUUUUUUAAAAGUUGGCUAAUUCAUGGACAAAAAAGUUUGACCACCAGCAGCUGAGGUGCUCUGGGGAGAUCGGAGGAUGCUGUACUUGAGAAAAUGACUCUGGAAAGAGAGAUGGAUGAGUUGCUCUAUAAGGAGGAGAUGAUGUGGCUUCAGCGGUCACGUAUCGCGUGGCUUUGGGAAGGGGACAAAAACACAAGUUUUUUUCACAAGAAGGCUGUGUGGCGUGCUAAGAAGAAUAAAGUUGAAAAGCUCCGGAAGGAGGAUGGUGAAUGGGAGGAGGACGGGGAGGAGAUCGGGCGCAUGGCGAGGUCCUUUUUUCAGGAACUUUAUACUCGUGAUCCUGCUGUUGACCCGAGUGAGAUUGUGCACUUAUAUGAUCACGUCAUUACUGAAGCUAUGAACGAGGAUCUGUGCAAACCGUUUACUGACAAGGAGAUCAGCGAUGCCCUUUUCCAGAUUGGACCCUUAAAGGCACCUGGGCCGGACGGCUUCCUAGGCAGGUUUUUUCAACGGAAUUGGGAAGUGCUUGGGAGGAUAUUACGAAGGCAGUAUGUAGAUUCUUUGAGGGUGGAGUGAUGGAGGAAGAUGUAAAUGAUACGGCCAUUGUGCUUAUUCCAAAAAAGGGUGAUCCGGAGACGUUGAAGGAUUUCAGACCUAUUAGUCUCUGCAAUGUGAUCUACAAGAUUGUGUCCAAGUGCUUGGUGAACCGACUACGUCCGCUGUUGGGGGAUAUCAUCAGCCCCGAACAGAGUGCCUUUGUCCUGGGCCGGAUGAUCACUGAUAAUGCUCUAAUAGCAUUUGAAUGUAUACAUGCCAUGCAAAAGAACAAUGAUGAACGUGGGGAAUUCUGUGCAUACAAGCUUGACUUGGAAAAAGCUUAUGAUCGAGUGGAUUGGGGGGCGUUGGAGGCAUGGUGAGGCUGGGCUUUCAUCGCACAUGGAUACAGUGGACUCUUCAAUGUGUCGCCAUUGUACGCUCCACGGUGCGCCUCAAUGGGGAGCAGCUUCAGGCGAUCUCCCCAAUGCAUGGUCUUCGCCAAGGUGAUCCUUUGUCACCCUACCUCUUUCUAUUUGUGGAUGAUGGCUUAUCUUGCAUCUUGAAGCACAAAAUUGAAACUGAACGUAUGGAUGAUCUGAGAAUCUGUCAAGGAGCGCCGGGUAUCUCGCAUUUGCUCUUUGCGGAUGAUAGCUUGUUGAUGUUUCGAGCCACGGCAGAGCAAGCUUUGCAAGUCCAGGAGGUGCUAACCUUGUUUGAGAAGAGCACUGGGCAACUGUUGAGUGCGAGUAAGUGCUCCAUAAUGUUUGGCCGUUCUUGCACGUCAGACAAUCAACAAGUUGUGAAGGAAAUUUUGCAAGUUGAGAAGGCUGGGUUUGAGGAGAAGUAUUUGGGACUGCCUAUGCCAAACGGAAGAAUGAAGAAUGAUCAGUUCAAAGGCAUAAAGGAUAAGUUCAAUAAACGCAUGUCUGAUUGGUCUGAGAAGUACUUGUCGGCAGGAGGGAAGGAGGUGUUGAUCAAAUCAGUGUUGCAGGCUCUUCCUACUUAUGCCAUGGGAAUUUUCAAGUUUUCAGCCGGGCUAUGUGAAGACCUAUCUCACUUGGUGAGGAAUUUUUGGUGGGGAGACGAAGAAAAUGAUCGCAAGAUUCAUUGGUUAGCUUGGGACAAGAUAACUGUCCCGAAGAGCUUCAGAGGCAUGGGGUUUAGGGACUUCAGAGCUUUUAAUCAGGCGUUGCUUGCACGUCAAGCCUGGAGGCUUAUCCAUGAGCCGAACAGCCUGUGCGCGAGGUUGUUGAAGGCAUGUUACUACCCGGCUGGACAAAUACAUGAUACUGUCUUCAGCUCGGGGGGAUCGGCGUCGUGGCAGGGCAUUGUGCAUGGCUUGGAGCUAGUGAAAAAGGGCAUGAUCUGGAGAGUUGGUACGGGCGAGAAAGUGCAUAUUAUCCGGGACAACUGGCUUGCUCGGGACGAUGCCCUUAAAAUUUCUGGAUAUAUUCCAGAAACGCACGAGGAGGAAGUUUGUCAGGGACCUUAUGGUGGAGGGCGAGAGAAGAUGGGACGAGGCUGUGGUCAAUGAGUUUUUCUGGCCACAUGAUGCAAAGCUGAUCCUGCGCCUGCAAAUUCCACAAGGUCAGGUGGAGGACAGGAUCGCUUGGCACUAUGACAAGCUUGGGAUUUUUUCUGUUAGGAGCACCCAUCGCCUGGCGAUCCGCGACCGCUUGCAGAUACAGAAUCCUGGUUCCUCGAGUUCUACCACCGAUGGAAGUCGCAAACACUGGAAGGUUCUUUGGUUGGCUCGGGUUCCCCCAAAGGUUAGGGUUUUUGCUUGGAGGCUGGCGCGCAAUGCCCUAGCUACCCAGAAGAACAGGCAACGGCGGGGAAUGGAGGUGCUCGCGACCUGCAAUAUUUGUGGGCGGGAGGAGGAGGAUGAACAUCAUGCUGUGAUUGGCUGUACAAAGGCGCGAGCACUCCGGGAUGAGAUGCGCCAGCACUGGGAGCUGCCACCAGAGGACAAGCUGGGGAGAGGCCCUGAGUGGCUCCAGCUGCUCCCCUAUGGAUCAUCGAAGGAGAUGCGCGCUCACCACUUGAUGUUGUUCUGGCAAGCGUGGCACCUCUGCAAUAACGUCAUUUUGGAGAUGGGAAGGCAUCGAUUGUCGGCAGUGCUCAGUUCCUUGUUAAUUACUUGGAGUCGUUGGGUAAUCUCCGGCUUAAACCAGCAGAUGUGAAGGGCAAGUCCUUGGAGAGUAGGGAGCGUUUGAAGGGAGUUCAUAAGCCUAGUUUUCGUUCUAAUAGGGGUGUAGAUGGUACUGCUGAGUGCCCUAAGCCGCCCCAAGACUUUGCUGAGCUCCAGAAUUUUGCUUUUAAUGUGACCCUUAAUCGUUAGUAAAGCUCCCUAUUCCAGCGCGAAAAAAAAAGUUUGACCAAUAUUUUUAAUAUUUUUGGCAACCAACUUUUUCUCGGCUCAAACCAAACAAGACCUUAGACCCUCGUGGGGUGUGGUUAGUCGUCCAACCUCGUGAACGCGAUGGUCGAGUGGAAUUAUAGCGGUGGCCCAAGAAUUUAGUGCAAUUUACUACUCGGAGCUCGCACACUCAGUAAGAGUCUAAAAAAUCUAAAAGAAAAAAGGUGCAGAAAGUUUCAUUUUGUAAAUUGAUCGGCGACUUCGGAGGAGAACAAAAAAACGUACUAUAAAUAUGUAAAAUACUACUCCCUGCGAUCCUAAAUUGUUGUCAAAAUAUUACAUGUAUCUAGACACUUUUUAAGAAUAGAUACAUCCAUAUUUUAGCAAAUUUGAGUCAAGAAUUUAGGAUCAGAGGGAGUACUCCCUAUGUUUGUUUAUAUGAGACGUUUAGCUUCGAUUUAAGUCAAACUUAUUAAAUUUGAUUAUGUUUAUAAUUUUUUUUACCAACAUCUACAACUAUAAAUUAUUAUUAUGUAAAAAUCUAUCGUUAUAUUUAUCUUCAUAGUAUACUUAUUUGAUAUUCUAGGCAUACAUUAAUAUAUUUCCCAAUAAACUUGAUCGGACAUUAAGACGUUCGACUUAAAAAAAAAUUAGAACUCUUAAAAAAGAGAGCUGGGGAUUUGCUAAUUUAAAAUGUGACGAGAAUUGAGUCCAUUAAUAUUUUGUAGUUCAAUUUUUUGUUUUAGUUUCACAAUGUGUCAUCUAAAGUUCGACCAAGAUUAUAACAAAAAAGGUUCAAGGAUAUAACAUUUCAAACUAGGAUAAUAUUAAAAAAAUCAAUGGAUCUAACGAUCUUAAUUUUGCACCGAGAUGUUAAUAUUUUGUCAUAAAGGUUGGUCAAAUUUGAGAAAGUUUGAUCAUGGACUAAAUUUAUGAACAUUACAUUUUGAAAAAUAAGUAGUAUUAUUUCACACACGGGAGGGGACCCUCUUUUUUUUUUUUUAAAGUUUGUAUGCCACAAUUUUUUUUUUGGGAACAUAGCAUAAUCGCACACGCUCGUAAAUACAAACGUACAUUCAGCUCUACAAACGCACGCACACCCUAACUUUACGAGAGCUUAUGAGAGACUAAGCCGGCAGAUUUUGAAAUCGACGACUCUCCUUAGGAGGUUGCAACCCCUCACUGUGGGAGGGGGAUCUCCUAGUGUGACACGUGGAGUGCUCUUUUUUUAGGAAAGUUAGGAGGUGCUCAGCUAUUGGAUUAAGAAGAGAACAAACAAAUUUACAGACUGAACAAGCAGUCAAAGAACAAAAAGGAAACCUGAAAAACGAAAAGAUCUGAUACUGCUGAAGCCUCACUUAGGAGGUGGGAGGCUAAUCUCAUCUCUGAUUAGCGCCGUACUCUUUGUGCAGUUAAGCUUUUUUGGUCAAAAACUCUUCUAUUUCUAUCUUUCCAAAUGUUCCACACAAUAUAUGAAGCGAGUGAGAUGAUCUUCUUUUUUUUCAUUGCAUUUUGGAGCAGUUUUGAGUCUUUUCCACCACCCCUUAAUUGAACUGGAAGCCGCAACAUGCUGGAGCAAUGGUUGAUCAGCAGAAAAGUUAUGCCAAACCUCCUUGGAGAAGGAACAUCUGAGCCCCAUAUGAGCAGCUGAUUCAAUCUCCUGAUAGCACAAUUUGCGAGUCCCAUCAUGCUGCCAAUUUCUGGCCAUCAAUCUGUGGACGGUCCAAGUCUGUUCUGAAUCAAAAGCCACAUGAAAAACUGAACCUUGCGUUCAGCUUUAAUCUUCCAACUUUUGCAAGCUGUUGCUGCUUCAAAUUGCCUAGAAAUUGCACCUCAUAUGCGGAUUUGCUGAGUAUGAUUUACGGAGUGCUAUGGGAGAACAUGUGGGUUCAAGAGGUAGUUUUUUUCUUUCCCUAUAUCGAAAAUUUAAAUACAAAUAAACUUUUGAACGGGGCAUGCAAACUAUAUGCACUUUCUCAUGAAGAUAACGUCAAGACAUCUCAUAUUGACAUGUCUCGUUUUUUACUUUUUUUAUCCCGACUUAUGUCUUUUGUCCUAUCUUGUUUCUAGCGGUCGUUCUUUUUCUUCUUCUUUUUAAUCCCGUAAUUAUCUUGUUCUGCGCACGUGGUGUUUAUUUUUAGAUGGUAGCCAAAGUUCACCUAAUCAAACUUUUGAUACUAACCAAAAAUUUAGUAAUUGUUUAAUAGCAGCCAAUUCUUCCAGUUAAACGGCAUUACAUUUUCUACUACUUUCUCUGUUUCAUAUUAAAUGACUUUUUAUUACAUGUAUCUAAACAUUUUUAGACAUAGAUACAUCCAUAUUUGGACAAAUUUGAGUCACUUAAUAUGUGACGGAGGAAAUAGUUCAUUUUAGCAAAACAUCCAGCGAAAAUUUUACAACCAAAACAAAACGUAUCCUCGGAACUUCAGUCCGUCCGCGGAAAACGGUUUAUGUGGUGGAGCGGAUCAUCUAGGCCCUGAAACGGCAAACAGUUAAACAUGCCAUGGCCCGCCAACAUUCCCCAGCCCAUAUCCUAGAUUCCUAGUGCGCUACACUCGUCUGGUGCACAAAAGGCUGCGGUCGGUCUAGCCCAAGUUUCUUCUACAAGUAAACUGCACCACUAUAGCAGCUUGUUUAUUCUUGUAAGAACUAGAAGCACUGCUCUCAAGGAGCAUGGUAACCAACAUUUUACCUUCACACAAAAAAUAAACCCAACAUUUUACCAUAUCACUCUCUACAAACUCAAUACAAUUAUGAUUGUCUGAAUCCUUGUAAUAGGGUGGGAUUAGACAUGGCCAACCCAGUUGAGAACUACAGGAAGUGGUGAAGAAGACCAAAGGGGCAACGAUUUGACCGAAUGGUAGCGAAGCGGGGUACGUUAGGUGGCCCUCUCAUGCUUGGUAACCAAUAUAUUCUCCGUUUAAGCUCAAUGAAUCCCCGUAAAGCCUCAUUCGAUUAAUCCCAUCCCGGUGGGGAUCAAGAGGGAUUAUCGGGCCGGAUUUCCUCCCCAAAUCCCUGUUGUAAAAUGAAUCUGUGUGUUCUAAUCCAUUGAACGAUGAUCAUAUAUAUACAAGGGGAAGGGACACCAAUACAUGCAUUGGUGUCCCAAGUUUUGGGCAUUCGCGUCCCAAUUUUGGCAAAAUUGGGACACGAACCGUUACAUCAUUAACUCUCUAAUUAACUAUUAAUUAGCUAAUAAUUAAUCAUAAAUAAUUAUUCUCAACAAUCCCUUCCCAAUCUUCUCUAAACCAUGUGUAACCGAACGAACCCUAAGGCCUAGUUCGGUUAUGCCCAUAUCCACCGGGAUUGAUGCAAUUUUAGUUCAAUUUCUCCCUAAUCCCUGUCAAUCACUGCAGAGAUUGUUGCGACCGAACUAGCCCUAAUGGGGUGGGACUAGACAUUCAUCAAGAGCUACAAGAAGAAGCGGUGAGGAAGACCAAAGAAGCAGCGAUUCGACCGCUUCACCAUGAGGCCUAAUUUGGUUGCACCAUUCCCGACAGGUUAUAGAGUGGAUUGAGGGGAAAUUGAACUAAAUUUGAUCCACUCCCCAUUGAUCCCCGCCGAGAAUGGUAGAUCCGAACGGGCCCUAAGCGGCUUCAAUUCAGGUCGUUCACCCAUCGCAAUAUUGCAAAUGAGGAUGGUUCAAGAUAAGUACAUGCGUUUUCACCAUCACCAUGCAUGGACAACAAAGUUUUCACCAUCACCAUGCAUGGACAACAAAAUUAUCCAUCAGCAGCAAGCUAGGUAACAAUGCACUGAGAAUGGCUUAGGCCAACAAGCUUUCACAACGAAGUACACAUGAGCCUUAGGUACAUAGUUUGCACGAAUGAUACAAGUCGCAGGAGCGAAGAAACACUACACAUAGCACUACGCUACAAGUCCGGUGCACACCCAAGCAAAGGGGAACAA